AGAGGAGCCGCGACAGAGCCGG
rnacentral:miRNA from 1 species